rnacentral:rRNA from 1 species
GAUGAACGCUGGCGGCGUGCCUAAUACAUGCAAGUCGAGCGAACAGACGAGGAGCUUGCUCCUCUGACGUUAGCGGCGGACGGGUGAGUAACACGUGGAUAACCUACCUAUAAGACUGGGAUAACUUCGGGAAACCGGAGCUAAUACCGGAUAAUAUAUUGAACCGCAUGGUUCAAUAGUGAAAGACGGUUUUGCUGUCACUUAUAGAUGGAUCCGCGCCGCAUUAGCUAGUUGGUAAGGUAACGGCUUACCAAGGCAACGAUGCGUAGCCGACCUGAGAGGGUGAUCGGCCACACUGGAACUGAGACACGGUCCAGACUACUACGGGAGGCAGAAGUAGGGAAUCUUCCGCAAUGGGCGAAAGCCUGACGGAGCAACGCCGCGUGAGUGAUGAAGGUCUUCGGAUCGUAAAACUCUGUUAUUAGGGAAGAACAAAUGUGUAAGUAACUAUGCACGUCUUGACGGUACCUAAUCAGAAAGCCACGGCUAACUACGUG